UGGAAUAUGAUUUAUAGAAGUCCUUUGAAAGUAUUUGUGUACACCAUAUGAUAGAAAAAUUUUAUUUCUACAAAUUUAUUUUUAAAAAGAUAUUCUUAUCUGGAUGCUCAUAGUUGCUUUCUGUAUAAUAGUCAAAAUGAAAUUUACAGCAAGUUGACUGGAUACACAAAUCAUAGUAGUGUUAUUUAAUAUACUAUCUCUUUCUACAACUCUUCAAAGUUUAAGCCAAUGAAUAUUAGUCUAAGCAACACAUAUGAGUAUGUUUUUACAAAAUUCUAUUAAUCAAACUAAUUUAUAUGUAUAGGAAGAGAGAACAUUUGGCGUAUAUGGAUAAUACACUGUUCACAUGUACAAAGAAAAUUUUCAUCUGAUUGGAAUACAUUGUAUCCUGAAAUGCUAAAAGUUUUCACUAUUAAAAAUUCUCACUUGAUGUGGUGGGUUAAUUAAUUGGUUCUCUUUAUUAAUUUCAUGUCAUAUGUAUGUCUUAAAACAUCAUAUGGUGCACAUAUUUUUAUUUUUUACUAAUAUCCUUUAUACAAAAUGAUUGGCUUAAGAAAGCUUAUUUAAAAAUGCAUAGCAUAUUUUGCUCAUGCUCACCCUACAUUACUCUGUCUAGUCUCCCUCUUCUCUACCUUUCACUAAUCCUCUUCCUUUUCCCACAUGGUUUACUUUGUAUUGUAAUAAUUUAAAAAUAUUUGUCUACAUAUAAAUAAAUAUAUGAUAUUUGUAUUUCUCAGUCCAGUUUAGUUCACUUAACACAAUGAUUUCCAGUUCUGUUUUUUUUUUUUUACAAAUGGUGUAAUUGUAUUCUUCUUUAUGACAGACUAUAACUCCAAUAUAUGUUUGUGUGUGUAUAGUUAUAUGUAUAUAUGCUGUUUUCUUAAUUUUUUUGCUCAUUAGCAUCUAUGCUGUUUGCAAAACUUGGCAAUAACUAAUACAGUAAAAAUACAGGCUUGUAGGUAUCUAUGGUACCCUGACUUAUAUUUCUUUAGAUAUAUUCUCUGGAGUAGUGUAGCUGGAUCCUCUGGUAGUUCUAGUUUUCUAAAAAAAAUCUUCACACUAAUUUCACACUAUUUCCAUUCAUUACAUUCUAAUUCACAGUAGGGAUAAUUUUUCCACAUUUUUGAUACUUUUGUUGCUUCUUUCCUUGAUAAUAUUCAUUGUGAUGGGUGAAAUAAAUUUUGAUUUUUCUAUGAUUAAUACUGCACCGUUUAUUUAUUUAUUUUAUCACUUAGAAUUAUUUUGAGAAUUGUUAUCUCAAUUCAUUUGCCCUCAUAUAAAAAUAUUAAGAGUGGUUUAGUUUGUUUUCCUUUGAUCUGGUAAAACACUAACAAAAAGCAAUUGAUGAGAGCAAAAUGUUUAUUUCAGCUUACAAUUCCAUGACAUAGUAUAACAUUGGUGGAAGCUAAGACAUUAACUCAAGCAGGAAUAUGGUGGUGGGACCUGAAACAGAAACUCAAGAGAAACAAUUUUUUAAAGACUUUUCUCUGCUACAUUUCUUAUACAGACCAGGCUUGCCUGUCAAUAGCUCUGUGUUAGUUCUCCCUAAUCAAUCAGCAAUCAAGAAAAUGCCCAAUUCCCAUAAGCCAAUCUAAUGGAGGCAAUUUCUCCACUGAGAUUCCCUCUCCCCAGGUAUGUCCAGAUGUGUAUCAAGAAAAGAAGGCAUUCUACCCUUUGUCAACUAUAUCAUACAAACAUAUCAUUAUAAGCUGUAACCUUUUCAUUUCUUUUUUUAAAAAAAUCUAUUUGAUAUUUUUAUUUAGCUCAUUAUGGUAUCUAAUUAAAAACAUUCUUUUUCUUAUCUUUUUUUUAACAAUUUUUAUUAGAUAUUUUCUUUAUUUGCAUUUCAAAUGUUAUCCCAUUUCCUGGUUUCCCCUCCAAAAACCCCCUAUCCCAUUUCCCAUACCCCUUAUUUCUUAUUCUCAGAGUUCUCGUGUUAAUAUUACAGUUGAAAAUAGCCCAUUUUUAAAAGUCACAGUCUUUAAAUUUUUUAAUAUUUAUAAAUUCAAAACAUCUCUAAGACUGCAGUCUUUUUUUUACUGUUGCUCUUGUAAAAUAAAAAAAAAUGAACUACAUGCUUUCCUUUUUCAAGAGGAAAAGAAAAGUACAUAAAAAUGAUCACACAUAAGCAAAACCAAAGACUGGCAGUAAAAUUUAAUGUCUAAUAUUUGGCAAAAACUGGAUCUUCUAGUUACCAAAGAGUUUAGGCAGCUAAAUGUCUCUGCCUAUAUCACGUGUCGAUUUUCAGAUAAGCUUAAGCCAGCUACAUUACACAUCUGCCACACUGUUCUCAACAGCUAUCCCAUAGUCUUGGUAUCUCCAAUAUCUAGGGGUCUCUCCUGAAGCUUCUUUUAUACCAGUGACUUCUACUGGCCUUUCACAGUGCCAAGCUUCAACUGCUCUCUAUUACCCUUUCAAAGAGAAUAUCAUAUAGAAGACUCUGACACACUACUAAUGUUGUCUUCAAGCUUCACCUUUGUUGUAAAUUAUAAAAUUGUUAACUAAAUAUUGCAUAUUUGCUUACAAUUAUAUGCAAACUAUAUCACAAACUUCCUGUGAAAAACUAUGAAGAAAGGAAGUAGGAGGAGGUUAUUGCUUCCAUUUUAUAUUCUUUCCUACUGUUUGAAUACUUGGAAAUGAGCUUUUGAAAUAAAAUACCUUAUCUGAAAAGAAUGCAAAUAAAGAAUAGAGAAAAAUCUUGUGUUAUUCUAUAAAAUAGGUAUCAUAAGGCAAUAGAUCUGGCCAGAUCUCCAGUCAUACAAAUAUUUAUCACUCGUUUUGCUUAUUAUGGUAUUUAGAAUACUUAGAAUCAAGAUUUUUAAUGAUUGUAUGGUAUCUGAAUAUAAAACUAUGCCCAUUAUUAAUUUCACAUAAGAUAUUUAUAAAAUGAACUUUAAUAAAUAAUAUCUCCAAAGCCAUUUAUGGAAAAAAUUGCAAAUUCUGAUUACAUUCUUAACAGGGGCUUUAAAAAAGAAGAACAGGGUCAAAGCAUGGGAAAUUUGUAAAUGUUUUUACAAUAUAGCAAAUUGUUUUCAAAGAAAGUAACAUCUACUGAUAUACCUGCUAACAGUACAAAGACAGAGUGACCUUCUUGCACCCACAAAUACAUGUAUUAACAUGGAGAAUCAAGGACUUUCUUUUAUGAUAGAACCUUUUGACAUCUCAUUUUCUUUAUUUCUCUUUUUUUUUCCUUUACUUGUCUUUGAUGUUGGAUAUUUGUCUUUUUGUACAUAGUUACUUUCUAUUUUCUCUUUCAAGAUUGAGAUGUUGAGCAUAGCUUUGUAUGUCUAUUCUAGUUAAAGAGAAACAAGGCUGGCAGGCUUGGUCCAUGUUUAAGUAACAGAAAAAGAGUUGGGACAUUGUAUUCCCGAGGAGAUGAGACUGGGGGUUUUCUAGGGAGCAGAUAUGUGUGUGGAUCCAACCAGUCAUCACAGAAAACCUAAGACAGAAAACUAGCUUCAGACCAGGUGAAGCUCAAGAAUAAGGAAGAUCAUAGUGUGGAUGCUUCAGUCCUUCUUAGAAGGGGUAACAAAAAACCCAUGGCAGGAAGUAUGGAGAGAAAGUCUAGAGCAGAGACUGAAAGAAAGGCCACCCAGAGACUGCCCCACAUGGAGCUCUAUCCCAUAUACAAACACCAAAACCAGACACUAUUGUAGCUGCCAAGAAGUACUUCCUGACAGGAUCCUGAUAAAGCUGUCUCCUGAGAGGCUCCUUCAGAGCCUGGCAAAUACAGAAGCGGAUGCUCACAGACAACCACUGGUCUGAGCACGGGGUCUCCAGUGAAGAAGUUAGAGAAAGGACUGAAGGAGCUGAAGGGGUUUGCAACCCAUAGGAAGAACAACAAUAUCAACCAACAAGGACCUCCCCCCCCCAGAGCUCCCUGGAACUAAACCACCAACAAAAGAGUACACAUGGAGGGUUCCAGGGCUCCAGUUGCAUAUGUAGCAGAGGAUGGCCUUGUCAGACAUCAAUGGCAGGAGAGGCCCUUGGUCCUGGGAACACUCCAUGUCCCAGUGUAGAGGGCAGGAAGUUGGGAGUGGGUAGGCAGUUGGGUGAGUACCCUCAUAGAAUCAGGGGGAGGGAAGAUGGGAUACGGGCUUUCUGGAGGGGAAACCAGGAAAGGGAAUAACAUUUGAAAUGUAAAUGAAUAAAAUAUCCAGUAAAAAUAAUUGGAAAAAAAAGAAAGUUUGGUAGCCCAUUGCAUACUGUGUAUUGCUUUGUAUAGUAUGAGCACACACAUGCAUGUGUGUAUGUAUGUGUGUCUGUGUGUAAUAAAAUUGAAUAAGUCAAAGUACUCUUCUCACAGACGUCCUUUUUAAAACAUACUAAUUGAUAUUAUUGUGCCACUAAGUCAUGAAAAUCAACAAUCAGCAUGGUAUUCUAACGUUGAUCCUGGUGGGAUAGCUUAGCUCAUUCAGUUUCUGGUUAUAACCAGACAUCCUGAGUUUCAGGGUACAUAUGCCCUGGUGAAGACUGCUGAAGGGAAACAAAGAUAGAAAACUCUUUCUUUGGCAAGGCACAGCAUUUGAGAGUUAUGUUCAUUCAUAUUCUCACAACAGCUUGGAACAAUUGUUCUUUCACCAAGAUUGUAACUUUGCAUUUUAAGAGCAAAAGAACCAACCAAUUUUCCAUGUAAGCUUUUUUUUUUUUUUUUCUCAAAAAUAUCGCAAAUUUACCAGACCUGCAGAGUAAGUCACAGGCCUCUUGAUUAUGCUCAAUUUUUUCCUGUGAAAGACAUUACUUUGCAAACUGCUGAUGCGGCAAUUUCACUUCACAUAGCCGCAUAAAUAUGGAAAGCAAAAAUCCAAAUGAGUGGCAUGCCUGAAUGACAAAUUUGAAGCAAACCUAAACCAUAUUUUAUAAAAUUAUUGCUCAAAAUAUACUCUCUAAUAUUAAAUACAAUAUUUAAUACAAUAAAUUUGGUGUUUCAAAUAGAUGUCUCACUAAUUUUAAUAAUAUGAUCUGCAUUUAGAAGCCUGGAGAAAAUUUACUUCCUAAGUUUUAACAAUU
rnacentral:lncRNA from 1 species